AUUGAACGCUGGCGGCAGGCCUAACACAUGCAAGUCGAGCGAGCGGCGGACGGGUGAGUAAUGUCUGGGAAACUGCCUGAUGGAGGGGGAUAACUACUGGAAACGGUAGCUAAUACCGCAUACCAUCAGAUGUGCCCAGAUGGGAUGAGCUAGUGGGUGGGGUAAUGGCUCACCGAGGCGACGAUCCCUAGCUGGUCUGAGAGGAUGACCAGCAACAUUGGAAAUAGACCACGGUCCAGACUCCUACGGGAGGCAGCAGUGGGGAAUUUUGCGCAAUGGGCGCAAGCCUGAUGACGCCCUGCCGCGUGUAUGAAGAAGGCCUUCGGUUUGUAAAGUACUUUCAGCGGGGAGGCGUUACCCGCAGAAGAAGCACCGGCUAACUCCGUGCCAGCAGCCGCGGUAAUAC
rnacentral:rRNA from 1 species